rnacentral:rRNA from 1 species
CCUACGGGUGGCAGCAGUAGGGAAUAUUGCUCCAUGGGGGAAACCCUGCAGCAGCAACGCCGCGUGGCGGAUGAAGGUUUUCGGAUUGUAAACUCCUUUUGUUAGAGACGCUAAUGACGGUAUCUCACGAAUAAGCACCGGCUAACUCCGUGCCAGCAGCCGCGGUAAUACGGAGGGUGCAAGCGUUACUCGGAAUCACUGGGCGGAAAGAGCGCGUAGGCGGGAUAGCAAGUCAGAUGUGAAAUCCUAUGGCUUAACCAUAGCACUGCAUUUGAAACUGUUAUUCUAGAGUAUGGGAGAGGUAGGUGGAAUUCUUGGUGUAGGGGUAAAAUCCGUAGAGAGCAAGAGGAAUACUCAUUGCGAAGGCGACCUGCUAGAACAUAACUGACGCUGAUGCGCGAAAGCGUGGGGAGCAAACAGGAUUAGAUACCCUUGUAGUC